ACUCAAAUGAAUUGACGGGGGCCCGCACAAGCGGCGGAGCAUGUUGCUUAAUUCGACGCAACGCGAAGAACCUUACCAAGGUUUGACAUCGCCGGUAAACCGCCAGAGAUGGUGGGUCCUUCGGGGAUCGGUGACAGGUGGUGCAUGGCUGUCGUCAGCUCGUGUCGUGAGAUGUUGGGUUAAGUCCCGCAACGAGCGCAACCCUUGUUCCAUGUUGCCAGCACGUAGUGGUGGGGACUCAUGGGAGACUGCCGGGGUCAACUCGGAGGAAGGUGGGGAUGACGUCAAGUCAUCAUGCCCCUUAUGUCUUGGGCUGCAAACAUGCUACAAUGGCCGGUACAAUGGGCGUGCGAUGCCGUGAGGUGGAGCGAAUCCCUAAAAGCCGGUCUCAGUUCGGAUUGGGGUCUGCAACUCGACCCCAUGAAGGUGGAGUCGCUAGUAAUCGCGGAUCAGCAAUGCCGCGGUGAAUACGUUCCCGGGCCUUGUACACACCGCCCGU
rnacentral:rRNA from 1 species